GACGAACGCUGGCGGCGUGCCUAAUACAUGCAAGUCGAACGCAGUGGGGACGGGUGAUUAACACGUGGGUAACCUCCCAUCAGAGGGGAUAACACUUGGAAACAGGUGCUAAACCGCUACUGAAGGAUGGACCCGCGGGGCAUUAGGUAGAUGGUGAGGUAACGGCUCACCAAGGCCACGAUGCCUAGCGGGCCGGAGAGGGUGAUCGGCCACACUGGGACGGAGACACGGCCCAGACUCCUACGGGAGGCAGCAGUGGGGAAUCUGCGACAAUGGGCGCAAGUCUGACGGAGCAACGCCGCGUGAGUGAAGAAGGUUUUCGGGUCGUAAAGCUCUGUUGGUAGGGAAGCGGUAUCUAAACAAGAAGCAACGGCUAACUACGUGCCAGCAGCCGCGGUAAUUC
rnacentral:rRNA from 1 species